AUCCCAUGAUGUGGACACUUUCGCAGCAUAUUUUGGAACCUAUUCCAGGCUUUAUCAAAGUUUUCUAAGUCGCUUUGAUGGAAAACAGAUAUGUCAUGCUUUAGCUU
rnacentral:snoRNA from 1 species